rnacentral:rRNA from 1 species
CAGUCGAGGGGCAGCAUAUGGAUUGCUUGCAAUCCAUGAUGGCGACCGGCGCACGGGUGCGUAACGCGUAUGUAACUUGCCUUAUGCAGGAGGAUAACCCGAAGAAAUUCGGCCUAAUACUCCAUAAGUGUCAGAGAGGCAUCUUUCGGGCAUGAAAGAUUUAUCGGCAUAAGAUAGACAUGCGUGACAUUAGCUAGUCGGUGAGGUAACGGCUCACCGAGGCGACGAUGUCUAGGGGUUCUGAGAGGAAGGUCCCCCACACUGGUACUGAGACACGGACCAGACUCCUACGGGAGGCAGCAGUGAGGAAUAUUGGUCAAUGGACGGAAGUCUGAACCAGCCAUGCCGCGUGCAGGAUGACGGCUCUAUGAGUUGUAAACUGCUUUUGUACGAGAAUAAUAGUUCUUACGUGUAGGGAUUUGAAUGUAUCGUACGAAUAAGGAUCGGCUAACUCCGUGCCAGCAGCCGCGGUAAUACGGAGGAUUCGAGCGUUAUCCGGAUUUAUUGGGUUUAAAGGGUGCGUAGGCUGUCGGAUAAGUUAGAGGUCAAAUGUCGGGGCUUAACCCCGUGCCUGCCUCUGAUACUGUUCGACUGGAGAGCGGAUGCAGCAGGCGGAAUGAGUAGUGUAGCGGUGAAAUGCUUAGAUAUUACUCAGAACACCGAUUGCGCAGGCAGCUUGCUAAUCCGCAUCUGACGCUGAUGCACGAAAGCGUGGGUAGCGAACAGGAUUAGAUACCCUGGUAGUCCACGCAGUAAACGAUGAUAACUCGUUGUCGGCGAUAUACAGUCGGUGACCCAGCGAAAGCGAUAAGU